rnacentral:rRNA from 1 species
UACCUGCCCAGUGCGAAAUAUUAAUGUAAACGGCCGCCCUAGCGUGAGGGUGCUAAGGUAGCGAAAUUCCUUGCCUUUUGAUUGUAGGCCUGCAUGAAUGGUUUAACGAGGGUUUAGCUGUCUCUAAAUUUUUAAUUGAAAUUGUAUUGAAGGUGAAGAUACCUUCAUUUAAAAGUUAGACAAAAAGACCCCGUGCAACUUUGAAAAUUAACUUUAUUCAGGGGUAAAAGAUUUUUAGGUGGGGCGCCUAGAAAGUAAGCCUAACCUUUCUGAGUAGGAGUUUCUUUCAGGAGUUGACCCGAUUAUAUUCGAUCAUAGGAGAAGUUACGCCGGGGAUAACAGGCUAAUCCUUUAGUAGAGCUCGUAUUGGCUAAAGGGAUUGGCACCUCGAUGUUGAAUCAGGGAUGAUAGCUUCAAGGCGUAGAGGCUUUGAGAGUAGGUCUGUUCGACC